UUUUGGGCAUUUUUGAUCUAGGGCUUUUGGACCUAAAUUGGUUGGUUUAGAACCUUCCUAAGGCUUGGAUUGGAAGGGUUCUAGCUCUCUUUUGGAGCUUAGGAGAAGAUUUCUCCUCUUGAGGUGAAUUUUGGCCCUUUUUGCUUCUAGGUUAAUGUUUGAUCUCUUGGUUAGUCGUAAUGCUCUCGUAUCUCUUCGCUGAUUACUUUUAGGGUAUUUUGAGACUCGGGGACAACUUUGUUCGGCGAAACGAGGCCCUACGCGACGGUUCGGUGGGUUUGACCUAGCCACACAAUGAGAAAUUCUCAUUUGUGCUUAAUUAAGUAUUGUUAAAUGAAAAAGCAUGCAUAUUCUUGUUAUAUGUAUUUAUUGUGAAUUUUAGAAUGCUUAAAAGGCCUAUGUUAUAUAUGAUGAAAUUUUGGACCUCUAUAUAGUAGAGAGUAGCUUGGUAGGCCUAUAGUUGCUCUUAGCAUUCUAUAUGAGACGUGGUUUCAUGCUCCUAUAGUGUAAAUGAGAUUGGAUUCAUGCAUUUAAACCUAAGUUUAUUUGGGACAUGAAAGUUGACAAAAUUGCCAUAUAGAGCUAUCGAACUAGAAUGUAUGUGAAUUGGAGAGCUAAUGUCAUCAAGCGGCAUUGAGCUCGGGACAUGUGUGAACCUAGUGGUUAGAGCCAUUGAGGGAUUGGGUAUAUGUUGAACAUUAGAUUGUCUAAGUGUCAUCAAGGGGCACUAGGCGUAAUGAAUGUUGGAACUUCAUCUUAUGACUUAGACUAGAUCUUCGGGAUGCUAGUUAUGAUACCAUGUUAGAGACAUGAGGAUUGGAUAUUUGAGACUUGGACUAUGCUUGCUUGCCAUUUGUGCUCAUUCGCACAUGCUUGUGAGGGUCGCUCCCUACAAGCCGGCACUCCGGAGUUAGCCUACGCGACUUAUGUUCGCUCGUGCGGUAUUGAGAAGCCUACGGGGUCGAGUGGGACAGACACAUUCCAAGAGUAGGGAUGUUGGGCUACCACAGGCACUUAGGCGGCACAAGCUGGACUACCUUUGGUAGGUCCUUAAUUGGAAAUGGAAAUCGACACGGUGUUGAGAAUGGUUAAUCGCUACUAGAUAGGUUUAGUAGUUGAAUUACAUUUAUAUGCUUUUAGCAUAGUGUUGAGACAUGUAGUAUACUUGAUAGUCUCCUUUUGCAUUAGAGCAUACUUGGUUGCCAUGACAGAACUUAUGCAUAAUGUAU
rnacentral:lncRNA from 1 species